rnacentral:rRNA from 1 species
UACGUAGGGGGCUAGCGUUGUCCGGAAUCAUUGGGCGUAAAGCGCGUGUAGGCGGCCUUGUAAGUCCGUUCUGAAAGCCCGGGGCUCAACCCCGGGAGGCGGAUGGAUACUGCAAGGCUCGAGUCCGGAAGAGGCGAGUGGAAUUCCCGGUGUAGCGGUGAAAUGCGCAGAUAUCAGGAGGAACACCGGUGGCGAAGGCGGUUCUCUGGGAAUUACCUGACGCUGAGGAGCGAAAGCAUGGGGAGCGAACAGG